AACAAAUAAAUCAUUUAGAUGAUGAACUGUAAAUUCAUAUUAGAUUAUAUA
rnacentral:tRNA from 1 species